CAACCCUCAGGUCCCCCUUUUCGGAGGGGGAGACACCCUGGUGUUGGGGGACGGCAUCCUGGCCCGCUGUCUCAGCGUGCCACGCCGCCCCCGAAAUGAAUUGGCGGCCUCGUCGCGUGCCACCCCUGCGUAGUAGCACAACCUCGCAACGGGAGCCCGACGCGGCCACUGCCGUAAAACGCCCAACUUUUACAG
rnacentral:misc_RNA from 1 species